UACAUAAAGGAACCUGCUGAUAGCAUGCAU
rnacentral:piRNA from 1 species